rnacentral:rRNA from 1 species
AUUGAACGCUGGCGGCAUGCCUUACACAUGCAAGUCGAACGGCAGCACGGGAGCAAUCCUGGUGGCGAGUGGCGAACGGGUGAAUAAUGUAUCGGAACGUACCUUUCAGUGGGGGAUAACGUAGCGAAAGUUACGCUAAUACCGCAUAUUCUGUGAGCAGGAAAGCAGGGGAUCGCAAGACCUUGCGCUGAUUGAGCGGCCGAUAUCAGAUUAGCUAGUUGGUGAGGUAAAGGCUCACCAAGGCGACGAUCUGUAGCGGGUCUGAGAGGAUGAUCCGCCACACUGGAACUGAGACACGGUCCAGACUCCUACGGGAGGCAGCAGUGGGGAAUUUUGGACAAUGGGCGCAAGCCUGAUCCAGCCAUGCCGCGUGAGUGAAGAAGGCCUCGGUUGUAAG